AGUGAACGCUGGCGGUAGGCCUAACACAUGCAAGUCGAACGGCAGCACAGUAAGAGCUUGCUCUUACGGGUGGCGAGUGGCGGACGGGUGAGGAAUACAUCGUAAUCUACUUUUUCGUGGGGGAUAACGUAGGGAAACUUACGCUAAUACCGCAUACGACCUACGGGUGAAAGCAGUGGAUCUUCGGACCUUGCGCGAUUGAAUGAGCCGAUGUCGGAUUAGCUAGUUGGGCGGGUAAAGGCCCACCAAGGCGACGAUCCGUAGCUGGUCAGAGAGGCUGGUAGGCCGCCCUGGAACUGAGACACGCUCCAGACUCCUACGGGAGGCCGCAGUGGGGAAUAUUGGACAAUGGGCGCAAGCAUGAUCCAGCCAUCCCGCGUGGGUGAAGGAGGCCUUCGGGUUGUAAAGCCCUUUUGUUGGGAAAGAACAGCAGCAGGUUAAUACCCAGCUGUUGUGACGGUACCCAAAGAAUAAGCACCGGCUAACUUCGUG
rnacentral:rRNA from 1 species